rnacentral:rRNA from 1 species
AUGCAAGUCGAGCGGUAGAGAGGAGCUUGCUUCUCUUGAGAGCGGCGGACGGGUGAGUAAUGCCUAGGAAUCUGCCUAGUGGUGGGGGAUAACGUUCGGAAACGGACGCUAAUACUGCAUACGUCCUACGGGAGAAAGCGGGGGAUCUUCGGACCUCGCGCCAUUAGAUGAGCCUAGGUCGGAUUAGCUAGUUGGUGAGGUAAUGGCUCACCAAGGCGACGAUCCGUAACUGGUCUGAGAGGAUGAUCAGUCACACUGGAACUGAGACACGGUCCAGACUCCUACGGGAGGCAGCAGUGGGGAAUAUUGGACAAUGGGCGAAAGCCUGAUCCAGCCAUGCCGCGUGUGUGAAGAAGGUCUUCGGAUUGUAAAGCACUUUAAGUUGGGAGGAAGGGUUGUAGAUUAAUACUCUGCAAUUUUGACGUUACCGACAGAGUAAGCACCGGCUAACUUCGUGCCAGCAGCCGCGGUAAUACUAAGGGUGCAAGCGUUAAUCGGAAUUACUGGGCGUAAAGCGCGCGUAGGUGGUUC